rnacentral:lncRNA from 1 species
GCGCAACCGGCCCAACAGGCAGGCCCGGGGCUCGUGUGAAGAACACAGUGGAAGCAUCCUCCAAGCCAGCCAACAAAUUUCCGUUUUCUACUGCCCUUUCGGGCCAGGGGUUAUUUUAUGAGCAUCUCCGAUGUUGCACACGUGGCGUGUGAACCGAGAGAAAGAAGAUGGAGAGAUCACCCUCCAGACGUCGUCGCCUGGAAGAGGCCCCAAACCAAGAUCCAAUUCCCUGGAGAAUUUUUAACCCCUCCCACUCCACCCAUCACUUUCCUGGCUAACAUCAGACACUGGAUCAACCCUAAAAAGGAGUCCAUCCACAGCAUCCAAGGAUCCAUAGUGUCCCCUCACACUGCAGCCACCAAUGGAGGCUACUCCCGAAAGAAAGAUGGUGGCUUCUUCUCCACCUAGUGUUGACAGAUCCCUGAACUAAUUAUAGUGAAACAUACUGCGGCCCACUUCCAUUAAAUAGAUUUGUGCAAGAUGAA